AGUUCCGGGGCAAAGGGUUGAAUGGGAGCUGCAGCUUCAGGCCUACACCACAGCCACGGCAACGAGGGAUCUGAGCCAGAUCUGCAAACUACACCGCUGUUUGUGGCAAUGCUGGAUCCUUAACCCACUCAGUCACUGGCUGAGGCCAGGAAUUGAACCUGCAUCUUCACGGACACUAUGUGGGGUUCUUAGCCACCUGAGCCCACAACAGGAACUCCUGUUUUAUUUUUAAAAUUUUAUGGCCACCCAUGCAGCAUAUGGAAGUUCCUCUGUCAGGGACUGAAUCCAAGCCACAGCUGUGACCUUUGCCACAGGCAGCUGCACCAGAGCCAGAUCUUUAAUCCCCCUGUGCUGGGCUGUGGAUGGAACUUUUACCUCUGAAGUGACCAGAGCCGCUACAGUCAGAUUCUUAACCCGCUGUGCCAUGGCGGGAACUCCUCAGUGAGCUUUAAAGGCACAGAAAGGAAGCUGGAGAGGAGUCAGAGUGGGGGUCCUUUCUGUAUAGUCACCGCUAUGAAGAUAUUUGGUGCCUUUUAAUAUCAUCAUGUGGUCUUUUGUCAUUUGUGGUCCAUAUUACAUAGAAGUUGAAUGUUAUUUUAUCUAUAAGGUUGGUUCUGGAUAUUACAGGAUAGUGAACUGUGCUUCAUUGACUUUUAAGACCUGGUGAUGCUCUAAUCAUCUAUGUUAAAAUAGGGGCUCCAUCCUGGGAAGCUUUGAGUUCACUGACUUGGCAGAGAGCCCCUCGGUUUACCCGGAGACGGACUAUAUCCAGCAGCUGGGAGAUAAAAAUAAAGUUCCCAGGUCUGUCACGAAGCAGUCUUGUGAUCUUGGGGAAGCCAUUUCAAAUGUCUAAAUUCAUGUCCCAGGUUUCCCAUCCCCGACAGCCUUUCCCCACCCUUCAGAUACAUUCCAUCCCUAAAAGGGAGCUCCUGGGUCCAUUUGAUUAGAGUUCGCUAUUAUCAGAUGAACCUUAUCUACAAGUGGACAUAUGAAGGGCAGAGCCCAGCUAAGGAAGUUGGAGACGGGAAAAGUCCAGAGCAGCAAACUGAACAAAGAGUAUAAGAGGGAGAAGAGGUUGAAAACAGGUAGGAAGCUGGCAGAAGCCAAGAGAAGAUGGGCAAGUCUAAGCUACGUGCCCACCUCAGUCCUGGGCCACCGCACCCCAGAACAAGCAUGAAAUGGAGCAGAUGGAUGCGAUGAGAAAUAAUCGCUGCCUGAACGGGUGGGAAUGUCUUGCUCAGGUGGUGUACAGGGGCCAACUUGAGGCCAAUUAUCUGCAACCAAUUCUAUUAGAGUAAAAUGGACUAUUUAAUGGCAACUUACGGCACACAGCCUAGAUAAGAACUUUAAACUAAACAUGUGUGACCACCAGUAAGACAACUGAUCAAACCCAAAUAGCACAGAACUCCAUUUAGACCGUGAAACGUUCAUCAUAUAAAGAGCCAGCAGGAGUUUUCUCACCUGCAGUAGCCUGUGAAAUUGGCCACUCCCCCAUCCAAGAGAUGGCUUGGGUUCUCCUGCCCUAUCCUGCGGUGUCUGUGGUAUUAUCUUCUGACCAAAGGGGCUAUUAUUGCUACGAGAGAAGAAGAGACUUGAAGAUGCCCCCUGGAAUGUUCUCCGUUAUCAGGCAUUAGCCCUCCGUGUUUCCUAACCCAGAAGCUCAUUUUGUUACCAUGUCUUUUUUAAUUUUCCUAAUUUCUAUCUUUUUUUCUCACUUUAUCCUUAUUGACUCACUCAUCAAACAAUAAGUGAAGGUAUGUGAUAUGUCAGACCCAGAGUGAGUCUAUACGGCCUCAAAGGUGGAAAAAGCAAGGCUUCCUCGGUGGAUAGGGCCACUAUCAACGGGGGUGGGAGGUGGGGACAGACUGGGAAACAGGUGUGCACGUCACUGGGACCUCGGGGUAGUAGCGUAUGCGGAUGCUGCUGCGGUAAAAGAUGGGUCACCCCAUCUGGGUCUGCAGGGGUCAGAGACAGUGCUCUGCCUUCUGUCUUGAUGCAUCUCGAGGGUGAGGAAAGGUCGUCCCGGCGACCAGAGGGUCACCGGGUAAAGGGAGAGGCCACCCUGUUCACAAGGGAGAAGGAGACGGUCUCAUGUCAUAGGAACAGGAAGUCCUUCCUGGCUCUCCCGAAGCUCUCUCUCCACCUCUCCCCCCAUGCUUCCUUAAUUUAUUGUACUUAUUUUAUCUUUUGCUUUUUAGGGCCGCACCCAUGGCAUACGGACGUUCCCAGAUGAGGGGUCAGAGGGGAGCUUCAGCGGCUGGCCUGCACCACAGCCACAGCAAUGCAGGACCAAGCUGUGUCUGAGACCUACACCAGAGCUCACGGCCACUCCAGACCCCCGACCCGCUGAGCGAGGCCAGGGAUCAAACCCGCAUCCUCAUGGAUCCUAGUCAGAUUUGUUUCCGCUGCACCACAACGGGAACUCCACGCUUCCUUAUUUUGAAAGCCUUGGUUCCGGUUUAGCUUAUUUGGAUCCUUGGUUUUCACAUGCCUUUACUAGGAAAAUGCCAAACAAAGAAGAGUACCUCCAAAUGGAAGGAGUGCAUCACUGGAUGAACGUCCCAAGCCAUCUUACUCAUCCAUCAAGCAAAGGCUUCUGUUGAAAUCUGACUGGUAAAGGUCCUUGUCCUGUUACACCUGUCACUGACUCUUGCAAAUUCCCUUUUGCUUUUCACGUAGGUUGACCCUGGGAAACCCACAACUCCUGUGGAAAGAUCUAGCAUCCUGUCAGAGUGCUCGCCGCUCUCAGGAAGCAACCACCCACACGAGCCUCCCAUCCAGCAUCCAUCAGCUUCCGCACUCAAAACACACUCCUGUUGGUGCAAAUGGUGGCAGGUCUGGUUCUCUGAGUCCCCAGUGGACGGACUGACGGGGAGGUGGCCUCUAGCUGUUCACCCUGCAGGGCCCACAGCUGGCAGCCGUGGAGUUCAACACACAUCACACACACACCACAAAACCUGGACCCUGCGAGUGAGUCUACGUGACCUGCUUUGACUAGAGAAAUGGGGAAACGAACACCUCAAGCGGGUAGAUACGGGGCGGGAAAAAGGAGAGCAGAGGCCGGACGCCAGAGCAAGCAGCCCCGCUGGUCUGGGCUGCGUUCACUUAGGAGACAUCAGGCGAUGUGUGCGAUGCGCUCUUUCAGGCUCUACCGUUUUACAAAAACAGGAGGAAGGAAAGACAGACGGGAAAGGGCAGGAAAAAGAUGUAGAUGGGGGACAAAGGGCUUGUCAGCACCCAGCCCAGCACUGGCGGCUUUGGAAUGUGUUAUGUUUUCAAUGAAUCACAGCAACCUUUGGAGAAAAGUAUUAUAAUCCAUAGCUUAGAGCUGAGCAGACAGACCCAGCAGCAGGGAAAAAAGAAUCACUACUUUGUGAAAUUCUGGUUUCUUGUCUUUAAAUGGUUUAGACAGUAAUAAUUAACAUUAAAACGUAGGGGGGGAAUUAUUUCCCCUCCAUUACCAGUUAAUAUUCAAAUAAAUAUAUUGUGAUAAAAAAUUCCAUGUAGACUCAGAAGCAUGAGAAAAGUAACUUCAACUGUUUAAACCUAAUAAACUCUUCUUCCUAAAAUAAUGAAAAACUCCUGAAAGCCAAAGAUGUUUCACUUACACCGAUAAGCCUAUCUUGCCUUUGCAUAGAGUAUAGAACCAGUUACUUGCUGAUGCAUUUAACUGAAAAUUGUUUAUAUUUUAAGCAUUUAAUAUCAAUUUUUAAGUUUUCUACAGAAACUAGAAAUUGCUGUGUUGUCAGCCUAAACACCACUGCUUUCUAAUAUUUUUACCUUUACAUGCUUUAGAGGGAUAAUUUCACUCUGAAAAUAUAUGAAAAAGGACAAUUCUGAUUUCUUAUUAAGAUUCGCAGGGUAUAAACCAAACUCCAUAUUGGCUGAAUAAUGAGUUAAAGACGUUUAGUUUAUGUUAGUAAAGUUCAUCUUUGUACAGAACUUGGGAUCGGAAUAUCACCUGAUUUAUUUAAAUUGUGGAUUUAGAGUUUCAGAGCAUUUAUAUUCUUUUUUUUUUUGGCUGUGCCCCUGGCGUGUGAAAUUUCUGGGGCCAGGGACUGAACUUACUCCAAAGCAGUGAUCUGAGCCACAGCAGUGACAACACUGGAUCCUUAACCCACUGAGCCACCAGGGAACUCCCAGAGUAUUUAAUAUAGGCUGGGUUUCUGCAAAAAAUAGAAAUCGCUGAAUGUGUAUUGGGCCCACAGCCUACAUUUCUCAGGUAAUAAUAAUAAUAAUAAUAAUAAUAAAACCCCAAAAUCAUAGGAGAAAAGAGAGCACACACUUUACCAGACCCAUGUCCCUUUCUGCCUGAAAGUCCCCCCUCUCAGCCCAUGGAGCACAAGGUGACAGGUGUGCACUUUACAGCGAUGGCCGUGGAUCACAUCACAAGAGGACACGAAGUGCCUGCAUACACUUGCUGCUCUGCCCCUCCCCAGUUGCCGAUCCUAGUUUUGCUGUGACACCACGACCCUCUGAGGUGCAGAGAAAUGCCUGCAGCACAAUCUGGGCUCCUACAUCCAAAUUGCAAAGAGAGGCACACCGCGAAUACACCUUCCUGCUUCUUCUUGCCUGCGCAGCGUGCUCACAGCUGCCUUUAGAACAGCUUCACCAUACAGGCAGGGCAGGACCUCACCGCCUCCUUUCCAUCACCCGUCUAGAGAAGUAGAGUCCUGGCUUAUUGCAAGAGCCAUAGAUUUCAUCAAGGAGCCUGGGGCAGAGAGUUGGUGGAGGGGAGAGUGAGAAAGAAAGGUGGAAAAAAUAUUGCAAAAGGUCCUGAUUCCUUGGUGGUGAAUAUUAGGCUUUUCAUGAGGAAAUAGAGUCCUUAACAUCUUGUCAGCCCAGGGCGACGUGGUCACAAUGGAAUUCUGAACCGGCUGCAGCAGAUUGGAUGCACGCGGAUUAGGGAAAGGAAGGAGGAGGCUGGCAGGGAAGGUGGAGGAAUAAUGAUGAAGUCAGGGUCAGUUAAGGAACAGUUGCAAUGACCCAGUAUCAGAGUGCAUUUGGGUGGUGGUGGGAGGAGCAGAAAUGACAGAAGGAAAAGAGAACAGGACGAAUCCUCUGGAUGUGGAUGGGGAGUGCGGGGUGAGGCUGGUGCACAGGGAAAUCUACUCAGUAUUUUGUAAUAACCUACAUGGAGGGAAUGGAGAUGUGGAACCGAUUCACUUUACUGUGCACCUGAAACUAAUACAACUUGGUGAGUCAACUAUACUCCAACACCUUUUUUUUUUAAGUGACUCCAGUGAAGGUAAACCCUGACAGUGUGCAGACUCCUGAUGUGAGGAAAUGAUCCUGUGAUUGAGACCCCACCACCAGCUGGUGGGAGGAGCUGGGCUCAGCCUCCUUCACAUGAGGUGAUGGGGUGGGGAAAGCGUCUACCCACCGGUCAAGCCAGCAGGACUGAGAUGGUCCUGCUGGGGUCAGGAAUCAGGUGGAACCCAGGAUGCUUGGAUAAACCAUCCAUGGGAGGAAACAGGAACAAGAGGUGGUCUUGUUUCUACCCCAGAGAUGCGCAAGACAGCACAAGAGUUCAAUACGCACUUAGAGAAUGAUUUUGAAUGUGCCAUUAUUUCUAAAUUCCAAGUCUUUCAGUAUAUUAGGUUUGAAUAAACCUAAAUUGCUUGCUGCUGUUGGGUUUCCCAACUUGUACAGCUACGUUAAUAAACACCAUUAGGAACAGUCAUAUCACUUGCAAUUCUUUACGUGCAAUUUCCAAGUGCAGGUUAUCUUUGGUCCCACUUGUGUGUCAUUCAACCCAGAAGCCUGGGGAUUAGGACCCGCCCGGCACACGGGUAGACCCCACCCUGUACAACCACCUCACCCAGCAAAGCUGGCUCUGAACAUGCUCGUGCCUCUGGCACCUUGCAGUCCAUGCUGGGCAAUUUUCCAAUAGACAGGAGAGAAAAAGAACUAUGAGGCCAUCAAACAAACAAAUAUAAAAAAGCCUACUUUAAAAGCUCGAAGUUGCAAUGGAAUUUGACAAUUGAACUUUACCGAAAAGAAUUGAGUCAACUUUAUCUGGCGAAGUUAUUAGCCAUAAAGGUUGAUUCUUUUGGCUAAAAUCUUUUAUCAAAAUGACUGUCAGUAGGUUGUAAUUUCAAAAAUAAACUGUGUAACGUGGAUGCUCUUUGACUGAAACCUCUGAAGAGAGACAAAGCCCUGAGGGAUGCAGGACAGUCUUGGUCUGGCCCAGCUCCUGGCCUUCCCGGACCAUGCCUGGAAGGGCAGCAGGGCUGCGGCUCCGUGGAGCAGACUCAACCACGUGCAUUAGGGUGCAGGAGGUCGGGCCACGAGGGAGCCAGAGCAUUGGACCCUCCGGCACAGCUUUCUCGCAUGAGAUGCAUAAACUGACCCAGACCGUACUUCCUGUCCCAGAGAGCCUCACACCUUCACUCUCCACCCUCCGGUGCUGGGGACGUGUUCGUGAGAUGGUCCCUGCAAGCCACAGCCCCCUGACCUGAGGAGGGUCAAGCCUCAAAUCUGCCACUUAUUGGCUGUGUGAUCCUGGAUGCAUCUAUAAAAUGAAGAUAAAUAUAGCUUUUAUAUGGAUUCUAUAAAAUAAGGAAAAGCAUCUGAAAUGCAGUAAAUGAAAAAUAAUUGUUAUUAAAGAAAGGGUCCAAAGGACCUAAGAUCCUGCCGAGGGAGCAACGUGAGUGUGUGCGGAUGAUGGACCAAGCAGGCUGGAAAGGGCCAUGCCCAGAUUCUGCCCAUCCCUCGGGGGCAGAGGAAGCAUCCCUUCCAUCUGGUCACUAGAUGCUGCAGGGCAGAAUCUGGCCAUGGGAGUGAGGGAGGGAGGUGGAGUCCCAGCCACACUCCGGGAUGAUGAGGUCUGGGCC
rnacentral:lncRNA from 1 species